GGUUCUAUAGUGUAGCGGUUAUCACACGGGAUUCUGACUACUAAAGCACUUUCCCGUAACCCCGGUUCGAAUCCGGGUAGGACCU